UACGUAGGGCGCAAGCGUUGUCCGGAAUUAUUGGGCGUAAAGAGCUCGUAGGCGGUCUGUCGCGUCCGUUGUGAAAACUCGAGGCUCAACCUCGGGCUUGCAGUGGAUACGGGCAGACUAGAGUGCGGUAGGGGAGACUGGAAUUCCUGGUGUAGCGGUGGAAUGCGCAGAUAUCAGGAGGAACACCGAUGGCGAAGGCAGGUCUCUGGGCCGCAACUGACGCUGAGGAGCGAAAGCAUGGGGGAGCGAACAGG
rnacentral:rRNA from 1 species